AUUGAACGCUGGCGGAAUGCUUUACAAAUGCAAGUCGAACGGCAACACGGGGGCAACCCUGGUGGCGAGUGGCGAACGGGUGAGUAAUACAUCGGAACGUGCCCAGUCGUGGGGGAUAACGUAGCGAAAGUUACGCUAAUACCGCAUACGAUCUACGGAUGAAAGCGGGGGACCGUAAGGCCUCGCGCGAUUGGAGCGGCCGAUGUCAGAUUAGGUAGUUGGUGAGGUAAAGGCUCACCAAGCCGACGAUCUGUAGCUGGUCUGAGAGGACGACCAGCCACACUGGGACUGAGACACGGCCCAGACUCCUACGGGAGGCAGCAGUGGGGAAUUUUGGACAAUGGGCGCAAGCCUGAUCCAGCCAUUCCGCGUGCAGGACGAAGGCCUUCGGGUUGUAAACUGCUUUUGUACGGAACGAAAAGGCUCUGGUUAAUACCUGGGGCUCAUGACGGUACCGUAAGAAUAAGCACCGGCUAACUACGUGCCAGCAGCCGCAGUAA
rnacentral:rRNA from 1 species